UACGGAGGGUGCAAGCGUUAUCCGGAUUCACUGGGUUUAAAGGGUGCGUAGGCGGAUGGGUAAGUCCGUGGUGAAAUCUCCGAGCUUAACUCGGAAACUGCCAUGGAUACUAUCGAUCUUGAAUUCUGUGGAGGUAAGCGGAAUAUGUCAUGUAGCGGUGAAAUGCUUAGAUAUGACAUAGAACACCAAUUGCGAAGGCAGCUUACUACACAGCGAUUGACGCUGAGGCACGAAAGCGUGGGGAGCAAACAGG
rnacentral:rRNA from 2 species